UCUAUCGGUAAGGACGUGAAAUACGAAAUAACAAGGGAGAGACUUUGAACUUGUUUAUCCUAACUGAAAAGGGUAAGUUGAAUAGUUAAUUGAAACAUCUUACUAAACUAUGAGGAAUACAUCAACUGAGAUUCCGUGCGUAGCGGCGAGCGAUAGCGGAGAAAUUGUCUUAAACAGAUAAUUAAGAUGAUUGGACAUCUAGACUAAACCCCGAUAGACACCUAUAGAGAAAGUACCGUGAGGGAAAGACUCAGAAUUGGUUCUAAAAGUUACCUUUUGCAUAAUGGGCCUGCAAGACAAGAUUUGGCAAGCUUAAGUAGUAAAUGAAGGCGUAGUGAUAGCAAGACAAACUCGUUAGUCAAAUUUUCCCGAAACCAAGUGAUCUAACCAUGGCCAGGUAGCUAUGCUGACCGAACCAGUGAUUGUGGCAAAAAUCUUGGAUGAGCUGUGGUUAGCGGUGAAAUACUAGUCGAACUUGGAUAUAGCUGGUUCUCUACGAAACUUAUCUUAGUAAGGCGCCCCAAGCUGAUUCGCCCCCAAACCCCGGGGGUUUGAAUUACUGGUGUAGUAAGACUAUGGCGAUAAGGCCCCUAGUCAAGAGGGGGAAGCCCCAACCAGAAAUUAAAGUCACUAAUACAGAUUAAGUGUAUAAAGGCCCCAACCAGAAAUUAAAGUCACUAAUACAGAUUAAGUGUAUAAAGAGGGCUCAACUUAGACAAACAGAAAGUAGGCUUGGAAACAGCCAUCUGCACAGGAAAACGUAAAAGUUCACUGAAUGAGCCAGGGACCUCUAAUAAUUAAGGCGGCUAAAUCUGUAACUGAAAUUCUGGAAGCCAGACCGUAAGGAAGCAUCAACUGGCUUGUUAGUAGAGCGUUCUGUAGGCACGAUAUGUGCGCACCUUGUAAGAUAAACAGAAGUGAUAAUGCAGGCAUGAGUAGUACAAGAUUAACUCCCAAAUAAAUAUAUAUAUGUAUACAGCUUCUAAGGACAUUAUGCCCGAUGAAUUAUAAUUUUUAUACCUGUUCAGGAAAAAUAUUAUGGUACUUCGUACCUUCAACUGUUAUUUAUGGGAUUUAUAUCUAGGCAUAAUUUCUCUUAAGGAACUCGGCAAAAUAAGAUCUCGACUGUUUACCAAAAACAUAGCUCUCUGCUAAAGGCUACUUAAGUAUAGGGGGUGAAUUCUGCCCAAUGGUUGUACAGUGAAACUAAGUACUAACGUAUAAAGCGAAACCCAACUGAAUGGCCGCGGUAACUCUGACCGUGAUAAUGUAGCACAAUAAAUAGCCAAUUAAUUGUUGGCGGGUAUGAAUGGAACCACGAGGGUUUUACUGUCUCAAGAGGAAAGCCGAUGAAAUUAUAGUUGUAGUGAAGAUACUACAUAGACAUUGUAAGACGAAAAGACCCUAUCGAGCUUUACUGGAUACCGAUAGCGUUAACUCAAAAUGAUCGAUACUAAGUAUUCUAAUUUUGAGUUAAUAAUUUUUGUUGGUGGGACAGUUUAGUUGGGGCGACUGCCUUUGAAUAAGAAACGAAGGCGAGCUUAUGGUAUACAAAGCUAAUCUCAUUAGCCUGACAGUGAGGGGGACACCCCUAGCUGGCACAAGGACUACAUCCUAUGUGGGCGAUAAUGACCCGAUAUAAUUGUCCAAAAUAAAUAUCGAAAGCGAAUAAAAGCUACCGUAGGGAUAACAGCGUAAUAUUGUCGGAGAGUUCUUAUCGAGGACAGUGUUUGCGACCUCGAUGUUGAAUUGCGGUGCCCUGGUGCUGUAGAAGGUACCCUAGGUUGGUCUGUUCGACCAUGAAAACCGUACAUGAUUUGAGUUCAGAGCGUGGUGACACAGCUCGGUUUCUAUCUACAAUGUUCAAUCCCAACUUUUUUGAGUCCUAGUACGCAAGGAAUGGUCUCAGCGAUGCUCGACUAUAUUGGCCCCAUCGAUGUAAUUAACUUCUGGCUGCUGCAAAGAAGGAGAACAAAAGGUUUAGGGAUUAAUAAGAUCACCUUCUUAUAUGCCAUGUGGGUGCAUAGCCCCUGGCAUACUAUGGAAUUAACACUAGGGCUCAUCAUACUAAUAGUGUUGACGUAUGGAUUAAAGGCCCCUACUUUAAGAUUAGCUAUGCUACUUGCGGGGGCUGCUGGGCUAUUAGCUGUGCCCCACCUACUAUGUUGGACACAGGCGAUUAAGAUGUUGGUGAUGCUUAGUGGGUUAGCUAUACU
rnacentral:rRNA from 1 species